rnacentral:tRNA from 2 species
GGGUAAUUAGCUCAGUUGGGAGAGCGCCGGACGCAAUCCGGGUGUCAAUGGUUCGAUUCUAUUUAUUACCCGCUA